GUCUGUGUGGUAAUAAGUACUAAGUCUGGCCUGCCCACUGAAUAAUCUUUAAAGGGCUGCGGUAAUUUGACCGUGCGAAGGUAGCAUAAUCAAUAGUCUUUUAAUUGAAGGCUUGAAUGAACGGUCUGACAAGAAGACAGCUGUCUCGGUUACUUAAAUUGAAUUUAACCUUUGUGUGAAAAGGCACAAAUAGCUUAAGGGGACGAUAAGACCCUAUAAAACUUUACACUUAAAGCUAGCUUUAUAAAGUGAUAUUAUAAUUUAAAGCAGGAUAUCAAGUGUUUUGCUGGGGUGGCAAGAAUAAAAAAACGUAACUGUUCUUUAAAAGGAAAUAAAAAUAUUUAGAGAUUGAUCCGCUAAUUUAGGAUUAUAAGAUUAAGUUACUUUAGGGAUAACAGCGUAAUUUUUUCUGAGAGUCCUUAUCGACGAAUGUAGUUGCGACCUCGAUGUUGAAUUAAAAUUUCCUCUGGGGGCAGAAAAUCAGGGGGUAGGUCUGUUCGACCUUUAAAAUUUUACAUGAUUUGAGUUCAAACCGGUGUGAG
rnacentral:rRNA from 1 species